GUCCCCUUGUUUUUUGUAGGCAUUCGACAUUAGGACCAGCAAAGUUGUCUGAUUUGAAUAGCUAAUGUUUGGAAAAGCUUCUUCCCAUGAUGGCUGAAAAAGAAGGAAGCUGCAACAGGCUUUUUGUAGCUGUACAUGCAGGGGCUGGAUAUCAUAGUGCUGAGAAGGAAUGUGAAUAUAAGGCUGCUUGCAAGAAAGCUUGCUUACAGGCGAUGUCACUUCUAAAGAAAGGUUACAGUGCAUUUGCUGCAGCUAUUAAAGCUACAGUGAUCUUGGAAGAUGCAGAAUGCACCAAUGCAGGCAGAGGAUCCAACCUGACCUUGACUGGGAGUAUUGAAUGUGAUGCUAGUGUCAUGGAUGGAUCCACUUGCCUCUUUGGUGCAGUGGGAUGUGUGUCUGGAGUCCUGAACCCUGUGCAGCUGGCUGGCAAAUUGAUUGACAUGCAGAAAGACAAUUCUUUAUCUCAUGGUAGGAUUCCUCCAAGUGUGCUUGUGGGAGAAGGAGCCAGAAUCUGGGCUAAGCAACACGGAAUUAAAGUAGAUGAAGACAAUCAACUUAUUACAGAGAAGUCGAAGCGUCAGUAUAAGAAAUACAAGCGCAGAAUUGAGACUGCCACUGAUUCAACUCCAAAGAAGAAAGCAGCUCUGGAUGACAUAUUCUUGUCAGCUCAGAAUGAUGGGACAAGUCUUGAAUCUGAGAAUCUGCAAAAGCAUAUAUCUAAGAAAAAUAAUGGUGCUCAACACAACACAGCCUCACCCCAUGACACAGUAGGGGCCAUAUGUUUGGACAGUCAGGGGAAUCUGGCAGCAGCAGUGUCCAGUGGUGGCAUAUGGCUCAAACACCCAGGGCGGCUUGGUCCUGCUGCUAUGUAUGGUGCUGGCUGCUGGGCACAAAAUCCAGAGAAUGGGUACCCAGGUGUUGCAGUUAUAACAUCUGGCUCAGGUGAGCACUUGAUGAAGACACUUUUUGCCAAGACCUGUGCUGACUGUAUUUACACCACAGAUAAUGCCACCCAAGGACUCAACACGUCUUUUACUUCCCAUUUUUUAGAUUCUAAGCUACUUAAAGGUUUGGACAGUAGACUUGCAGGUGCACUGGCCCUUAAAGUGUUGGAGUCAAAUGAAGGAAGAGAGUUGGAGCUGGUGUGGGGACACACAACACUGAGUAUGGCUCUUGGAUACAUGUGGGGUGAAGACCUGAAACCCAGGGUGCUCAUUUCCAAGUUAAGUGAACAAGCCAAAGAGGGCAAGUCCUUCUCUUUAUCAGGCGCAUUCUUUUCUUCUGAAAAAUCUCCAUGUGUUCAGGAAUGUUGUCUUCACCAAAGCAACCUCAAUGAAAAGGUGUCGCAGUGCUAACUGUGAUGUCUGGAUGCCUCUGCAGUCUUCAGGUCUGCUGCACAGAUAUCUUUUCAUGUUGGGUACAGUAAAUAAACAGUGUCAUACAGACCCUGGCCAGUGCAGA
rnacentral:misc_RNA from 1 species